rnacentral:rRNA from 1 species
AGAGUUUGAUUCUGGCUCAGGAUGAACGCUGGCGGCGUGCUUAACACAUGCAAGUCGAACGGAGUGCCCUUGAAGGAGUUUUCGGACAACAGAUAGGGUUACUUAGUGGCGGACGGGUGAGUAACGCGUGAGGAACCUGCCUUGGAGUGGGGAAUAACAGCUGGAAACAGCUGCUAAUACCGCAUGAUGCAGUUGGGCCGCAUGGCUCUGACUGCCAAAGAUUUAUCGCUCUGAGAUGGACUCGCGUCUGAUUAGCUAGUUGGCGGGGUAACGGCCCACCAAGGCGACGAUCAGUAGCCGGACUGAGAGGUUGGCCGGCCACAUUGGGACUGAGACACGGCCCAGACUCCUACGGGAGGCAGCAGUGGGGAAUAUUGGGCAAUGGGCGCAAGCCUGACCCAGCAACGCCGCGUGAAGGAAGAAGGCUUUCGGGUUGUAAACUUCUUUUGUCAGGGACGAAGCAAGUGACGGUACCUGACGAAUAAGCCACGGCUAACUACGUGCCAGCAGCCGCGGUAAUACGUAAGUGGCAAGCGUUAUCCGGAUUUACUGGGUGUAAAGGGCGUGU